CUCCUCUUGGGGGCGCUGCAGCGUUGGAGGAGAGGAUCUUGCGCGCUCCUCCACUGCUUCCGCCAGCUGGUUUGGCGAUCGCGCCAGAGCAUUUUUCCGGCGAAAGGGAUUCUCCUCAUCCCAGGCGAAUGAGCUUGUCAGUGGAGUGCUGCAAGCCGCAGCUUGUUCCCGCUGAUCGCUCAUCUCCGAUCUGGCCGUUGAUCUGGCAACUCCGGUUGCUGUGGCCGCGCCCUCUAUUGGCCAGACGCUGUCGUUUUCCCGCACUUAGCUCCGUGCCUUUAGUCAGCUGUUCUUCCGUCGUUAUCCAACACCACUUGCGGUGUGCUUGGCCAAUUUUGCCCAAAAACAAAAAGAAGGCAGCAACCAACAAGUGGCGCCAAGAAUCACAGCGAAGAAGAAUAGGAAAACAGGCACUUACCUGCUGUUCCUUCCCCCCCCCCUUCGGCCUAGGGCUCGACGGCGUCCCACUGGGAUUUCGGCCAGUACUAUUGGCCAGGUGGCCGCUUCUCUGCUUGCGGACUUGCGUUCCGCGCAGGCUAACUUCCGACGUUUUCCACUGAAUUAUACGGAACGAUUUAAAAACACGACCGCACUCACUAGAAUACACACUCUGUCUCCUCUGGGUGGGUGGGGUGGGGUGAUGUAUCUGUGUGAGGUUGUUUUAUUUGCCACGAUUCCAACUCUGCCUCCGCCUUCGCCCCCCACCGUUUCGCUGUCUCUGCCUCUGUUUAUAUUUGUAUUUGUUUUGUUGUACUUUUGGCACUGGAUUUCCGCUUUUAUUUAACUUUUGUUCGCUUUUUGCAGAGCGAAUUAACUAAAUUGAUAUUUUCACAAAUUUUCCUUUGCCUUCUGCUUGUCUUGUCUCUGUCUUUCCGUCUCUCCGUCUCUCUGUUUGUGUGUCUGCGUGUGAAAAGCGCUAAUUGGAAAAACUCACUCGCACACAUCCCUCGUACCAAGGAGGAGGCACUGAUUGGGACAGGUUCGGGACUUUCCACUUUGUUGCUCUUCAUGGCUUUCUGCUUUUAUUUAAUUCAACAUUAAACAUUAAGUUACACAUACGCCACGUUGCCCCUCCUCUACCGCAUGCUCCGAGCCCUUCCCCCAAGAAAAUCGACAGUUAAAAAGCAUUCGAAAUAUUUUUAUGGUUUAUAUAUUGUCAGCAUCCGCCGCCCCACAGGUCCCUCGAACGCGGGCGCAUUGCCAGUGUCAAGUAUUUUUCAAUUAAAUUUUAUUCGAUAUGUUCCACAACAGCUGCAACAGAAAGGAGGAAAAUAAAACGAAAGGCGGUUGAAAAUAUGA